AGAAUCAACGCUGGCGGCGUGCCUAACACAUGCAAGUCGCACGAGAAAGGGGAGCAAUCCCUGAGUACAGUGGCGCACGGGUGAGUAACACGUGAAUUAUCUACCUCCGAGUGGGGAAUAACUGAGAGAAAUCUUAGCUAAUACCGCAUAAUACCCACGGGUCAAAGCAGCAAUGCGCUUGGAGAGGAGUUCGCGGCAGAUUAGUUAGUUGGCGGGGUAAUGGCCCACCAAGACGAUGAUCUGUA
rnacentral:rRNA from 1 species